GUCAAGUUAAUAAUUCUACCUAAGACUCAGGUGGCUAACGCCUUAAAUUUAUGCCUGCCGAGGAGUAAACGUAUCUCUCUCUGUGUCUUGGUGUGGACAUAGAGCUUUUUAUUUAUAAAA
rfam:Lactobacillus salivarius TCC118, complete genome.